rnacentral:misc_RNA from 1 species
GAACGCAAAUUGCACUCUCUGGUAUUCCGGAGAGUAUGCCUGUUUGAGGGUCAGUUAAAUAAAAAUCGGUGUUGUUGCUGCCUUGCGUGGUGACGCAUCGGAUUUGGGUUGUUCUUACCUUCGGUUAAGUGACCUAAAAUUUUGCAUGAUUUUUCGAACGUAUUUAAAUUAUUUACGUACGUUUGUGAUAUCGAACAUUAGGUGUGAUCAUUCUCAUGAUUCGCGCCUAUGAUUUCUCAUCAAAUGACCUCAAAUCAGGUAAGAGUACCCGCUGAACUUAA